AUUCCAGCUCCAAAAGCGUAUAUCAAAGUUGCAGCGUUUAAAAAAAUCGUAUUUGUCUUGGGGCAAUUAACUCGCCGAAAGGUUGUACAUUGAUUUUCCCCAGUCAUCGUCAGAAGCUCGUGUUGCAUUUAAAUGUGUGGUAUGAUGUUCUGACCUUUUACCUUGAGGAAAAGGGAGUGUUUCAGGCAGGCUACCCAGCUUGAAUACAUGAACAUGGAAUAAUGAAAUGGAGAUCGGUUCGAUUUCGUUGGUUCUAGCGCUGAGAUGAUGAUCAAUAGGACAAGGCGAAGGUAUUCGUACGUAUUGAAAGUGAGGAAUGAAAUCCAAAGAUUUAUUAGAAACGAUCCGAGGCGAAAAUAUUCGUCAAGGUGUUUCAUCA
rnacentral:rRNA from 1 species